UAGGGAAUCUUCCACAAUGGACGCAAGUCUGAUGGAGCAACGCCGCGUGAGUGAAGAAGGUUUUCGGACCGUAAAGCUCUGUUGUUGGUGAAGAAGGAUAGAGGUAGUAACUGGCCCUUUAUUUGACGGUAAUCAACCAGAAAGUCACGGCUAACUACGUGCCAGCAGCCGCGGUAAUACGUAGGUGGCAAGCGUUGUCCGGAUUUAUUGGGCGUAAAGCGAGCGCAGGCGGAAGAAUAAGUCUGAUGUGAAAGCCCUCGGCUUAACCGAGGAAUUGCAUCGGAAACUGU
rnacentral:rRNA from 1 species